AGUGAACCUAUUGAUAUAAAUGAGUUGAGAAAGAAAAAACCUCACAUAGCAUUGAAACCAUUCUGUGAGGCAUCCCCUUUCACAGAGAAAUUAGAAAAGACCUUAGAAAAGUCGAGCAAAGAUCAGAAAUCGCCUGAUGGUGGCAAAAUACAAACAAGGUCUGACUUUCAACAACAUACAUCGGGGGAAAUACAGGAAAAAAGACUGACACAUUCAAUAGAGCCACCGACAUUAUCUACACAACCCAUUUUUACUAAAUCUCCUGUAAACCAACUUGCACCAAAGUUACCACCAAA